UUCAAAAUUUCUUUGAGAAAUAGCUCUUAGCCUUUGGAGCAAAAAGCAAUAUAUCUGAGCUUUUUCCAAGAACUUUACAACUAAUCUGCUAUUUCUGUCAGGGUAGAAGAGUCGCAUCAUUUUAAAAAUAGUCUAUUUUUUCAGAUAGCAUACAGAAAUAGAGGCUGCCUAAAUGCAUUGAAGAUUCUCAUUGGUACAUGCAGCUCUCAUGGAUCCACAUCUACCAGAUGAACCUGAUUUGACUAGGACUUAACAAACAGGAGAGGAACAAACCAACUAUCAGUGAGGAUUUAGUGUCCAUAAGGAUGAAACAGCCAGGGAAGAGCAGGCCCACAAAAAACGUGACAGCAGAGCAAGGAAAAAAUGGUCAGUUCACAGCCAAAAGCGCUGGAGAGGUAACCUAUAUACAUUCCUGAUUUUCUGUUGUAUCUAUUUUAUAAGAUACCUGGAUAAAUUUAAACAAAGAGAUGAGAAAGUGAGCAGUGUAAGCCUCAGUGCUGUGAGGCUUAUCCCAACUGACAGAAGCCAUCUCUGCAUUUACAGAGACAAUUGCUGCAUGUAAAAUGACUUCAACUGAAUACUGAUUUUGUAUGAUAACAGUGACAGCCUCCAUCUUUUUAAAAGCCUUUUUAGCCUACUCCCUUACAGCAUUCUGCUUCUAUGUUAUUAACUCUUAAUCACGUUGAAUAGGAGAUUGUAAUCCUGAUAAUUCAGCUAAGUGACUUGUAAAACCUUCAAUGGGCAUAACAAAAAAAAAUCUGAGACACUGCAAGAGUAACUACAUUUUUACUUCAAAGGCUCAUGAAGUUUGGUCAUCUUCUGAAAAUGUAGAUGGUAGGUAGUCACCAUAAAGUCUUUAUCAUGCACCGCUUUGUCCACUGUGAGGAAAUUAUCAACACAUGUUAAAUAUGGAGAUAUCUAACUGAUUAUAGUACUCUUAAUUGUAUGUUUAUUGAAAGUGACAUGAAAUUGUACCUGCCAAUAUGGAAAUUACUGCGGAGAUUAUGUUCUGUUUCCCUCUUUUGCUUUUUUCCCACUAGCACAAUCAAGUAUAUUUGUCUUGUAUCCUGUUAAAUAGCGCGUGGUGCAGGUGAUCAUACUGAACCAGCCUUUCUGCCUGAAGAAGUCAUGAUUCAGUGAGCAGGUAGGCAUGCUUUCCAGCACACCAGAAGCUCCACAUUUCAAAGCACACAGGUGUGACACACAGAUCUGUUGGGUGUCCAGUGCCCGUAAAAAAUGAGAGCAAACAGUACACUGUAAGCAUGUGCUCCUGUUUGGUGCGGCUUAGCACCCUUGUAUAAGAGACGUGAACAAGCCCUACCUGCUGUUAUGGCUGUCUGCACACAAGACUGGAAAUAGACAGCUUAUUACAGCAUGCUGAAUGGUAUCACUCUGGCAUUUCUGUAGAUUACCAUGCUAUUGACAGUUUCUUAUCAUUGUAUUUUUAAGACACCUGAAUUUAACCUUUCCUCUAGAUAGUGAAUUCUAGAGAAAUACAUCUACAAUCCAAAGGAGUGUUCGAGCCAUUUUUUUUUACAAAAAAGAAGGACUGGCUGUUGAUUUUUGUUUUAACAAACUGUCUUGGAACUAUACAUUUUCAGAAUAUUCAUUGCUAACAUAUUUAAAUUUCUUUCCCUCCAGCAUGAGCAAACUAUUAUUUACUCUCUGAAAGAAAAUAUCAGAUUUGACAGUUGUAAUAUAUGACAUCUUUGAAAUUGUUUGUGGCAAUGGUGUUGUCCUUAAAUCUGUCAUAUUAAGCACAUCCCCUUCACUGCAGCAGCAUUUGCGCAAAUAUCAGAUGGGAACUUUCUCAGGGUGUAUUAUGUCUGCUUCUGCUGCUCAGGACAGAAUCAUAGUUCUGCUUUAAUGGUUAGAGAAAUCAUCUGAUGCUGUGGAUAGCCAUUUAGAAUAACACUUAGACUGUUUAUUAAAGGAUUGUAAAAUUUCUACUGACAUGAGAAUUGAACUCUUCCUUUAUAUUCUUCUGAGUUUAGAUAAGGAACUGUCACUAUGAAUAAGAUAAGAAAUUUUAUCUUAUGGCAAAACUGUUUAUAAACAGAUGGCUGAGGCUCAUUUGCAUGGAUCUGAUAAAAAAUUUUCUGCCUAUAUGAACCUCAUUUCUCCAUAAAAGAGGAUGCACAUAAUCCCAAUACUAAUCAUAGACUGCGAUAAAUGGGAUCAUGCAUAGGAUAAUUUUCCAGUAAUCUCAGUUAAGGUACUAAAUGCAUAGUGCAUGAAGAAAGCUAUCAUCACAAUGCUAUCGUGAUUGCAUGAAGAAUCCAGAAAAACUCACAAUGAGUUAACUUUGGCCCAGUGGUUGAUGGGAGUUGAGCAGAGAAAAGGAUAAAAAGGGGGAAAAAAGAAAAUUUAAUAAUUCAAAAUAUCAGAACUGUUUCCUGAACUGUUAAAAACCUUGAACCAUUUUUCUGAGUGCAAAAAUUAUUUCCUGCUCUUCACUGACUUAAAAUGUGAGAAAGAUGUUGGUAGCAAUGCAAUUAUGAAGGGCCUUUUCUUCACAUGUAAUGCUGCUGUAAUGGGGGUGAUGGAGCAAGGAAUAAUUUUACUAGGAAAGAAAGAGUUUAAGAGGCUUCCUUCCUUGCUUUCUUUAGUUUAAGUCUUGUGUUUCUUCUCAAAUGAAUAUGUGAUCCUUGUGACGUUCACAAUUUCUUGUAGGCUUUACCUCUUCACAUUGCACCAUAUAUAGAACUAUAACUUAUCAGUCUGCUUCUUGUAGGAUGAAUAUUGUGGUGUCUAUCACUAAUCAGAGCAAUAAACUGGGAUUCUUGCUUUCACUUGAAAACCUCAGUGAGCUUAACAGUGCUAUCAGUGACCCUUUCCAGAACAAGUAUUUUGUCUUUGUUGCUCAUAGCUUUAAUAUUUUUUUGAUGCUCAGACAGUAAAAGAGGUUGGAACUGCAGAGUGUAGUAAGCAUAAAAGAUGAAAAAACAGAAUUCUGGUUUUUAAAAGCCUGUAUAUGUUCCCUAUCAGUAUUCACACAUAAUGAUGAGGAAGAAGAUGUUAUGGAUCCUUUUCUGUCAUAAGGGUGUAUGUGAUUAUAAUAGUGUUUUCUGGCAAUUUUAGAAUUUCCUGUCUCUCACUUUUAAUUGUCAUUAAUGUGUCUGAAAAUUGUAUACAUGACAUAAUAAUGUGUGUCUCAGGGUUAUGUUGAGUGUAGAAGAUUUUUGUGUUCACAAAGAACUGGCAGGUGUGUUAGCAAAGAAGUGAUGAACACUCACUUAAUCCAAGACAUAAUCCUUACAAGCUGAUGAAGUGAAGUUUUGUUUCUGCGAGCUGUGUGUUAACAUAUUUUGUUCCUGAUCAUCUGCACAUUUUACUCUCUUUAUAGCACUUGUAUAACUAUUCUAUUUUCUCCAUGUAAAAAGGUGAGUACAUCUUUCAUGGUGGCAUAUUUUUAAAAACAAAAGAGACAUUUUUCCCCCUAGGACUUUCAACCUGUUACUGCUAUCUUUCACUCUGUUUGUAUUUGUAUACAGUCCUCCUAUGCAUCCUACUCUUCAAUAUGUUUCAUCAGCUGUACAACAGACUACACUCAGUCUCUUCAGAACAGAUUUUGUUUGCAAGAUUAAUGUUUGAGGUGGAUUUGGAAUACCUUUGGCCUGCUUUUCUAAGGAAAUGAGGCAUGUUGACUUACACCGUCCAUCUGCCAGCUUUUCAGCCUUCCACUUCUUUUCCUCUGGGGACAUUUACACCUUCUGGUCAGGUUCAACCAAGACCAAAGGCACUGAAUCAUAGAAGAUCACAGAAAAUUUAUGGUGAAUAGAGGAGAGAAACUAAUAUCAGUGCAACAUCCUGACACAGUGCAGCACGGUGAAAGCAGACCCUAUCUGACCUACCUAGCCUGCUAACUAGCAAGCAUAUACUACCUAGCUAAUUAAUACAUAGCAGCUGAACACCAAGAGAUCACGAUAAUUCUGUGUGCUGACUGAGAAGAAAAUGAAGAUUUUCUUCCACGACUGAAAAUCCAUUAAAAAACUACAAUUAAAACAAAAAACCAGCAGAUAAGCAAAUAUUCCCUAGAUAGCUUCCUCAGCUGGGCUCAGGCCAGGAUUCUCUGCAAGUGAACAUCUCCAGAAAUAACAUCAGUUAGGCUCUAAGAACUAACUGGAAUUGUUACACAUUGCCAAGACAUAUCUUCUAAGGUUGGAGGGGGAGUUAUGGGAGGCCAUUGUGGUUGAUCCCUCCUAAAGGCAUCACAAAGGGCACGUCACAUCCUGAUCUAAUCUGACAGCUGAGGUAUGUCUGUCUCCAUUCCCAGCAACCUCUUCCCUCCAAACAUACGUUUUCACAUAAAAUGGUCAUGCUUUCAUAAUUCUCAUGCCAAAGUUUUUCUAGAGAGACAAAGUUACGAAGUUUCCACUUUAUCCAUCAAAUUUUGGAGUACUUGUAUGAUUAUUGCUCAUAAACAUCAGCUCUUCUGCCACUGCAUAGAUUAGAUAAAGCUGUUUGUAUCCCUGCUCCAUCCUCUGACAAAUGCUAUUGGAUACAGGAGUCAGAUCUAUGUUUCAGGCUGCCCAGUUCCCUGGAGAUGAGAGCAGCUCUCUUCCCAACUCCUGUGAGAAUCUCCUGAAACUGCCUGCUGCUUCCACCAACCCAAAGGAGAAGUUGUACUAGUCAUGUGAUUGCAGUCUGCUAUUGCAAAUUACUUUUCCCACCCUUGUUUGUGAAGAACAGAAUGAACACAUCAGAAUUUUACUGGUUUCCAUAUUUUUCCCCCCUUGGCUGGAGAGAAAUCUAAUUGUGGCAGAAGCCCCAGGUGCUGUCACAUAUCUUGUGUGUUGCCUCUCAUUCUGUCCAUCAAAGUUGUCCUCACAAAUAAGAAGUUAGCAGCCCAGUACAUCCUUCAAUUUUUUUUUUUUUUUGGGGGGGGGGGGGGAGGAGGGGAGUUGUGUUUAAAUUUUGUGGCUGAAUACCAGCAUUUAGACCAAGAAAAGUGAGUAAUAAUUUUGAUUUCACAUAAAGACUAGCACACUGAAAAUAGACUUCACAACAAGAUUUUGAUUUAUGCUACUGGCAAUGCAAUCUCUUCCAGCACUGGGUUUUUAGCAAAUAUUUAGUGAUUAGAAAUGUCCUGCAACCAGACAGCUAAAUCCAUUCAUGAAGUAUCUUUAUGUGUUUGUAGACAGAACUGUCAAGUGAAUAAUUAGUUCCUAAAAUGUUUCAGGCUAUAUUGUUUUCUUAACAAAUAUGUUUGUCUACUUGCUUUUGACUGGUAGAUUUUAUUAAUUUCUGACAUGUGCUUUCCUCCCUUGAUGGCUUCCCUGCUUAAAAGAAGAACACAAUUAUUCUGUGUUUGCUAGAAGUUUUAAAGAAUGAUAAUUGUUUUAUAUGUAAUGCCUUACUUUAAGUGCUGGAGAUAACACUGUCUUUGUUCAUUAACUUCAUGACUCAACUGUUGUCCUCAAAAUACUCGUCUUGCCAAGAUCUCUCUUGCUUAAUGAGAAGGCACAAGCAGCAAAACUACUAAAUGAAUUCAAGGACAUUUCUGGAGAUCUGCUUGCCUUCUGAAAUGAAGAUAAGGCCAGAAGGAAAAGACAAAUCUUAUUGCCAGCGUAAAUGGAAAAGUGGAAAGAAAACAUGGAAAUGGUAAAAAGCUGUAAGCCACGGAGGGAGCUGUGUCCUCUGGGGGAGAGACAUUGGGACCUAUUUGCUGACUUUGGAGAAAGAGUCUUAUGUGCUAUGUAAAUUCAUGGGUCAAGCUCAAGAGAAGACCUACUGUUCUGCUGAAGAGAAGGCAGGUAGAAUUCAGUGGUAAUAUUGGUGCUAAGUGUAAGCCAAAAAGAAAAAGAAAAGGAAAUCAUGAUGUCUGUGUUUCUAAGAUAACAAUAUAUUAUUUUAUUUUCUUUAGAUAUGUCUUGCAAAUGCAUCACAGUCUUGUCCAAUUCUUGAUAGGAGACUGAAAUUCAGUGGUUGCAAAUUCAGAAGAAAUAGGUUUCACUAGCUCUGUUGUUUGGACAGGAGAUUUUGAGAUUUUUGUAUAUCAAAGAAAAUAUUUUAUUCAUAAUGUCCCUGCACACUAGUGAGAUGGACUAUGUUGGUGAAUGGCCAGGAUGCUGGGUACAAUUGCAAGAAGGGAAAAAUUAGGGAUGUUCUUCUUCACUGAGGUAAUCAUAUCAUGGUAUAUAGAGUCAUAUACUCCUUUCUGAAGUAUUUGUUUAAUUAAUGCUCCCAAGACCAAAAGAAAAUCUUCUGCAAGUAUAUGAACAAAUGGGGCAGAGUAGAGAGGCAAUGUUAAGCUGCAGUUUAACUCAGCAGUAACUUUUAGUCAUCAAAGCAAGUCCCUUCGAAAUGGAUUCUCUUUUUGUAACUCAACUUACCAUCUUUCUUGUUUUCACAUGUUGAAGACUGUGUCUGUUUUUACCUCUAGCUGAAUACCUCGAAUUUGCUCAGCUUUCUAACACAGCUUUAUUUAUCAUGCUUUUUGAUUCCAUGCACGCUUUGAGGGAUGUUUUAUGUUUUAUUUAUUUUUUAUGUUUUCUUCUCUCACGUCCAAUCUCAUCUGUCCAAAAAUCAUUUCACAGUUGUUGUUGUCUUAUUAAUACUUAAUUGAUUAAAUAUUAUAAAAACAUUUUAAUCUUUUGUGAACGAUUCAGUUAUUAAAAAUGAGAGAUAUGUAUUUGCUUAGUACUUAAUUUUUUUUUAACAUAUGAAAAUAUUGAACACCUGUUAAGAAUGAGAGAAUAAGCUAAAUAAAAAGGUAAUUUCUCUUUGCCAGAUGGGGGCUAAUUUCCAUUUCUUACAGAUUCAUCAAUUUAUUCCAUCUUUAACCACAAUGCUAUUGUAAAGAUGAAAAUCCCAAUCCAUCAGCCCUGAAAUGUUUUUUAAAGUUUGAUGCUUGCAGAAAGCAACACAUAGCUUUCAGAAAUCACUAGAAAAGAGAUGCACUAGAUAAUAAAUAAGGAAGGUAAUUGCACCCAUUGUUUAUGUCAGUAAAAAAUGAGAAUGCGUUUUAAAAAAAAAGAGCAAAAAAUUCUAGCUGGAUUAUAAAAUAGUUACACAGGCCUAUCUCACCUUCAGAAAUAACUGACAGUUAAGAAACCAGCUUACAAUAAAAUCCAUUGGACAGUUUAAGCACCUAAUAAAAUGCUCUUACAUAUGGUGACUUGAAAUGCUUUGUUUCAUUACUGCUUUAUCAGUUUACUUGUAUUACAGCAUUUCCCAAACUGAAUCUGAUUUUCUGUACCCCAAUAACGCGCAUAGUCAGGAAAUUGGCCGAUUAAAUGUAUAAAAAGCUUUGUUGAAUGAAUAACUUGUUCUAUUUCCUUCCUUCAAAUUACUCACUUUUGAAAUGCUCCAGUGGCUUUUAGUAAUAUGUUCUAGUUCAUAAGGGUGCUUAAUCCUUAAAUAAUAUGUGCGAUGAUGCAGUGGCUGAUGAAAGAUAUGAUCUUAAAGAGUUAUUCUGAAAAUGAGUGCAGAAAGUUGGAUGAUUUACUGUAGCUAGCAGAAGGAUCUCUGUCUAAAGUUGCAAGGGAGGGCAAAAAACAUUGUAGGUUAGUGAAAGGUGAAACUGCCCUUUAUUGAAAAUAAUUUAUUGAAAAUAAGAAAUUACCUGAAGCCAACAGAUCAUUUCUAAAUAAUUUCUAAUAAUUUCUAAACAUUUCUAAUAAAUUCAUACAUCCAAACUGAUUUGAGGGGUAUCAUCUUGUAAUUUUUGUAGCUGAAGUUGUUCAGCAUUUAGUAAUGCAGACUACAUAAUUUUUGAACAAUGGAGAUGCUCCUUAAUAUACUAUUUACUUUGCUAAUGACGUCAAACCCAAUUUUUCUUAGGAAAAGUUUUCCAGUGUUAUUUUGCCAUUGCUGAAAUACAUAGUACCAAAAUGAAGACUUUCUAAAAGUUGUUUUCAGAUUUUACUGAAUCUCAUUAAAGAUAAAUAUGACUUCACUGCAAACAGAUUUUAUAGUUCUAGAUAACCUUUGUAGUUCCAGGAG